CAGCCCUCCCGCGUGUAUGAUGAAGGCCUUCGGCUUGUAAAGUACUUUUGGCAGAGAAGAAAAGGUAUCUCCUAAUACGAGAUACUGCUGACGGUAUCUGCAGAAUAAGCACCGGCUAACUACGUGCCAGCAGCCGCGGUAAUACGUAGGGUGCAAGCGUUAAUCGGAAUUACUGGGCGUAAAGCGUGUGUAGGCGGUUCGGAAAGAAAGAUGUGAAAUCCCAGGGCUCAACCUUGGAACUGCAUUUUUAACUGCCGAGCUAGAGUAUGUCAGAGGGGGGUAGAAUUCCACGUGUAGCAGUGAAAUGCGUAGAUAUGUGGAGGAAUACCGAUGGCGAAGGCAGCCCCCUGGGAUAAUACUGACGCUCAGACACGAAAGCGUGGGGAGCAAACAGGAUUAGAUACCCUGGUAGUCCACGCCCUAAACGAUGUCAACUAGCUGUUGGGGCCGUUAGGCCUUAGUAGCGCAGCUAACGCGUGAAGUUGACCGCC
rnacentral:rRNA from 1 species